GUAAUAGCUCACUGGUCGAGUCGGCCUGCGCGGAAGAUGUAACGGGGCUAAACCAUGCACCGAAGCUGCGGCAGCGACAUUUAGAUGUUGUUGGGUAGGGGAGCGUUCUGUAAGCCUGCGAAGGUGUACUGUGAGGUAUGCUGGAGGUAUCAGAAGUGCGAAUGCUGACAUAAGUAACGAUAAUGCGGGUGAAAACCCGCACGCCGGAAGACCAAGGGUUCCUGUCCAACGUUAAUCGGGGCAGGGUGAGUCGACCCCUAAGGCGAGGCAGAAAUGCGUAGUCGAUGGGAAACAGGUUAAUAUUCCUGUACUGGUGAU
rnacentral:rRNA from 1 species